rnacentral:rRNA from 1 species
UACGAAGGGGGCUAGCGUUGUUCGGAAUUACUGGGCGUAAAGGGCGCGUAGGCGGCCUACUAAGUCAGACGUGAAAUCCCCCGGCUUAACCGGGGAACUGCGUCUGAUACUGGAUGGCUUGAGUUCGGGAGAGGGAUGCGGAAUUCCAGGUGUAGCGGUGAAAUGCGUAGAUAUCUGGAGGAACACCGGUGGCGAAGGCGGCAUCCUGGGACCGACACUGACACUGAGGAGCGAAAGCCAGGGGAGCAAACGGG